GAGCGGCGAACGGGUGAGUAACACGUGAGUAACCUGCCCUCAACUUCGGGAUAAGCCUGGGAAACCGGGUCUAAUACCGGGUAGGACCUGGUGCGGCAUCGCGCUGGGUGGAAAGAUUUUUUGGUUGGGGAUGGGCUCGCGGCCUAUCAGCUUGUUGGUGGGGUAGUGGCCUACCAAGGCGACGACGGGUAGCCGGCCUGAGAGGGCGACCGGCCACACUGGGACUGAGACACGGCCCAGACUCCUACGGGAGGCAGCAGUGGGGAAUAUUGCGCAAUGGGCGGAAGCCUGACGCAGCGACGCCGCGUGGGGGAUGACGGCCUUCGGGUUGUAAACCUCUUUCAGCAGGGACGAAGUUGACGUGUACCUGUAGAAGAAGCGCCGGCUAACUACGUGCCAGCAGCCGCGGUAAUACGUAGGGCGCAAGCGUUGUCCGGAAUUAUUGGGCGUAAAGAGCUCGUAGGUGGCUUGUCGCGUCUGCCGUGAAAGCCCAUGGCUUAACUGUGGGGUCUGCGGUGGAUACGGGCUGGCUAGAGGUAGGUAGGGGCAAGCGGAAUUCCU
rnacentral:rRNA from 1 species